UGCUCGACGCCUGGAACUUAGACUCAACCUCAGUGUAAUUGCGUAGGUGAGCAAAGUUUCAGGUGUUCGAGCGC
rfam:Ascaris suum AG00009, whole genome shotgun sequence.